AGAACAUUGGCCUUUGUGAGCAAAUGGCCAGAACAUAGUGUGUUUCUUUUCUUUGAGCAUUUGAAAUCUAUAAUGGUUGCAUUUCUAGGCCUCAAAACUGGCAUUCGGGCAUAUCCACAUAUUGCUCAAGGUAACUAAAGCAGCUGUUGGUAUAUAGUCUCAGGAAGCCAACAGUCAACUUCACAUAGACUCGUAUAAUUUAGAGGAUAUUGGCAAUAGUUGGGUAUUUUGAUAAGCUAGGUCUUGCACUGACUUCUUUGUUAGUUUGGGUUACAUAUUACAAGGUGGUUGUUCAUUC